GGCCCUGGAGAGAGAGCAGAGGAGAGCCUGUCAUGGAAGUCCUUUAUCUCAGCAUUGCUGGCGACCACGAGCGUUUGAACUUGCAGCGAGUCCAGGGGGCGGAACUUCUCUGUUCCUGUGACAUGCAGGAAGCACGUGUAGAGCUUGGUGGCUCCCAGAGGCCACCUGGGGCUCCAGCUGACCCUUCCGCCACCUGUGGCAGGUGGAAAGACCCCGAACCCUUCCCACAGCCUCCAGUGGCACACCAUGCUCAAGACCCAGUGGCAAGCUCUGCAGCCUCUAACAGGAACCAGAACCUCACACGGAUGAUGGGAGUCCUUUCCUGACACUGGGGAGGGGAGGAAGGAGCUGCUGUGUUGGAAACACAGGUCCAGGGGAAGCCCCCUGGCCUGAAUGAGGCUGUGGUGUGGGACCACCAGGUAGGAGGCAGGUGCUGUGAGGGGCUGGCCUUCCCAUCUCUCGGAGCAUGGAAGAAAUGCACGCUCUCCGUGAUACCGCCUCCAAGCCCACCCACCUAGGAGGGAUGGUCUGAAAUGUACAGCGAGGCCAGGCAUACUGCCGGAGCAUCAGUACAGAUCUAAAUGAGCGUGAGGUUAUGGUAAGUUAUUAAAUGGAGAGAAUGUGCCUGCAGGAUCACCUCUAGUUUUUAAAACGUAAGCUGACGGCUAAACACACGCCUUGGCCUUGCCCCCAGCAUCGAGUACCAUCUGCUGAACGGGGAGGGCGGGGUGCCACAUAGACCUCCCCUCCCCAAAAUCCAGUGCCCAACCACGAAACCCAACUCAGGUUAACUUUGGAGACAGGAGAAAAUAAAAAUGAAAUUUUAAGAAAAACUCCCUGUUUGCUGAAGGUAUCUGGGAAAAGCACUGAGAAUCUUUGAGAAAUUCGUGACUGCAACCGCCGGUGUGUCGUGUGUCCACGUCUGUGACGCCAGACUGAGGGGAACGGGGACAGCUGGGCGCACGGUGUCUGAGCGAGCCAGAGGGAAAUCACGGUGGUGAGAGUGAUUGUGUCUAUGCAGGCUUUUCAUCCCUACCUGAGAUAGGGGACAGCAGCGUGUUCUCCUCGCCACCAGAAUUCAGGAAGACGUCCAGGGCCUCCUGGUCAGAGAUAUCCAUCAGAUCCAUCUGCUCCAGCAUGUCCACGUUCACCUCCAUGGACGACAUGCUGCCCAUGGGCUCUGCGGGGACCGGCACGAGAGGAGGUUAGGCUUUGCCCUGGGUGAACUCCCACUGCAUUAGGUAUUAGCAUGUUGUGUUUUCUGGGUAUAAAAUACCUUCUACUUCUAUCUUCAAAAUUGAUUUUGGAGGAAUGUAUUAUUGACAUGUCCCAGUUUGGUGGUGGUUAAAUCCAUCCUAGCUUAACCAUGAUUACUGUUACCUCUUACACCAUCCACAGCAGAUCCUCUUUUCAUCCCCAGCCAUGUGCCUGCAUGUGCUGAAGGCAACCCUUUCUGCAGUAAACAGUUGCAGCUCAAAAGAGGCUGACAUUCCUGCCAGACACCCCUGACGGUGGUUGCCUCUAACUUUAUUACAGUUCCAUUUGGCAUCUUCCCUGCCCUUACAACAUUUCUCAGGUCUUCCAUCUUAACAACGGAUCAAGGUUGGGUCUGCCGCAAGCUGGCGAGUUGGAAAGAGCUUCCAGUGAUGAAAGCAUAAACUCAGCCCACCAGCAUAAAGACGCCACAGGGCAAGGAGUCUGAGCCUGGUGAGGGGUGUGUCCAGGGGAGUGUCUAGAGUUCUGCGAUCCAGAAAACUACAAGCCAGGUAGCUUAAGUAGAUGGUACCUGUCACAAGCAGAUACAAAUUUCUGGAUGUGGACACAUCUUUAACCUGGGUCUUAACAGGAAUAUAAACAACACAAAAUCCAGUCCAGUCUAGAACUUACAGCACACACAUCCCUGAGUGAGGGUCAGCAGAAACAAAGAUUAUUAAAAUCUUUCCCCAAGAAUCUAAAUGGCUUUAAAUAUCUUAAAGAUGAGAAUAAGAUAAGGAACACAGUGUCAGAAAUCAUGACAGGCAUUUGAAAAGAGCCAGAUAGGAUUUUUCCAAAUAGGAAGAAUCACUGAAAUUGAUUAAAACUGUGGCAAGUUAAAAGUCCUGCUAGUAAACUAGAAGACAAGUUCUCCACUACAGCAAAGACAUAAACAAGUGGAAGUAUGAAAAAGUGCAGAAGUUUCACAGUUCAAAAUGCGAGUGGAGGGUGUGGGGAUGGGUAUUGUAAGAGGCUGAUGAUCUAGACUUGAUGCAAGAUCUGACAUCCCAGACUUAGGAGCAAAACACAUUCCAAGCGAGGCAGGUAAACCCUCACCUGAACUGCAGUGAAACGAUGAACAUCAGAGAAAAGGCAGAUGAGGAAAGAGGAGGAGGUGCGGGCGGCUUCUCAACAGCAGGAAGCAGGAGACAGUGGAGUGAUAAGUUCAAAGAGAUGAACUAAAGACCAUCUCUUAAAACAGAUGUGUGAAAUGCCCCCUGAGCCUGCUCUCUGGAGAGGCCCAGGAGGGAGGCACGUUCAGCGAAGACGGUGUCUUAAGUGAGUAAACAUAAAGCUCUGAAUAAAAUAAUAGCUAACUCAGGGCCUUUACUCCAGCCAGACUGAAGGACUGGAUGAUGCCAAUGGGACGGGGCACGAGGUGACAGCUUCGUCCCGUGGGAAGGUAGGAAUCUGCUGUCUCGGGGCCUGCGGCACAGCGCGGGCACAGGUGAAAGGUUGGGGGGGGGACCCCAGGGACAGUGGAGACAGCCACCCCAGGUGGCAGAGCCAGGUGGCACCUCCCAUCAGCGCCACCCUCGGCUGCUAGAAGUCACAGCCACUUAAUGGGCACACUGGGCGGUGCCAUCCAAGGGUUCCUGCAAUGCUGACCCAGCGGGCGACCUGCCAACACAGGUCGAGCCUGCUCCCCUUGGGGCUGCCUCCUGGAGACGGGGGCACUGCUGGAAGGGGAAGGGGCAUGCGGGUCCUCUCUGGGGCUGGGGAGGCCUUGAUGGCUCUGGGCUUUUUUCCUUCAGUUUUGAAAGCACAGUCUCCCUUUUUUCUCUCUCUGGCCAUCCUCUUACAAAGGGGAGGAAAAAAAAAAAUGGACUGAAAAGCAUAGGAAACAUUUUCAGGAAAGUAGAAAGCACCAAAUAAGGUAGUAAUGAAGCCAAUUUUAUAAUCUGUUCUGUGGCAAAUCUGGUUGAUUUAACAUUUGCUGUGGUUACUGCCUGCCCGGCUUCAUCACUGUCUCAUUUGGUGCUUUCUAGUUUCCUGAAGAUGGAAAAUGUUUCUUAUUAGUGAUAAAAGUCUAGUUACAUUCUGUUAGUAAGAGACACUCAAAAUAUUAGAAACAUUUCAAAUGUAAGGAAAAACAGGAAGUCAGCAAGCAAAUAAUUAAAGGAGAAAGCUGAUACGGCUGUAUUACUAUCAAAAUAGAUUUAAAGAGGAAAGAAAAGCAAUAUUGAGGUAAAGCAUAGCAUUUAAUAAUUAUUUUAAAUUCAAUUCACCAGGAAGAUAAUUCAAAAUUUCUGUGUGACUAUAUAUUUUGUGGUUUUAUUUUUAAAGUAAAAUAUGGAAGCACGACAAGGAAAAUGUAAGGAGUCCAUCCUAAUUGAGGGGAAAAGGAAGGUUUAAUGUACCUCUGAUAAUUAAGCAAUCCAAAAUGGAUAUUAAUAGGAAACGUCUGAACAGGCCAAUUUAUAAGUUGUCUGAAACGUACACUUACAGAUCCUCAUGCCUGUCACCUAGAAUCUUGUUCUUAACUACACACAAAACAUGUAGCAAAAAUACUCUAAAAGAACAUAGUGUCAGUCUUGAAUCAAAGAAGAAACCCCCUUUUCCAGCCACAAUAAAAUUUAGUAUUUAAAAAACACUUCUAAACAACUUCACAAGUCAAAUAAAGCUUAAUGGAAAAAAAUUUAAAAAACCCAGGACUAUUACCAAAAUUUAGAGAAUAUUCUGUGUGCAGUUUACCAAGAAGAAAAAUUAAAGGCACAAGUUAACAGCCUGAGGGCUGCAAAAUGCAAACCUGAGCCCAAGGUCUGCAAAGACUGAAAGGCAUGUGGGUCUGAAGAUUAGACAGAAUCUAAACAAAUCCAUCGGAAACUCACAAAAGGAAAGCAAACCUCUAGAACCAUAAGAGAAAAAUAGUUGAGCUCUUCCGUCAGGAAAGCAUGGGUCCCUGACUGUCAGAAGUUACAGCCAACACAGGCCAGACACGUGGAAAAGUGGAACAGAAGAGGGCCUCAGAAACACUCGGGAAUGUACUGAGGCCUCAGAAACAGAGUGGAGGAGAGAACGGUGCGCAGGCAGUUGCCGCUGUGAACUGCAGGGAGAGCCUUCCUUCCCCACGGACACGAACCAGCUGGUGGUGGCUUGAGGUGCCAAAUGGAAAACAGUUGACCUUUUGGAAUAAAACAGCAUAAUGUUCUUAUAACAUGGAGGGAAGGGCUUCCUAAACAAAAGUGGGCUCAGCUGGUCACAUUAAGAAUAAACGCAUUUUGCAAAGGCCACACUGGAAUAGCCACAGAUAUAAUCGGGAAAGUCUGGUAAGACUCGAGGGAGACAACCAACCCGUAGAAAGAUGGACAGUCAAGGAAGUGCAUGUUAAAACCAAAAUAGAGUGGCAAAAGUUUAAGUGUCUGACACAACUAAGUGUUGACAGAGCUGUGGAGUGGCGGGCAUGCACGCUGGGCGAGCGUGAACUGCCGUGGGUAUCCUGGCGAGCACCCACUACAGUUAGAUGCUUGCCAUAUGACCAGGUAAUCAUUUGCCCAGUGACAUAUCCUAAAGAAGCGGGUUGCGAGCUGUGGACCCAAGACGCGAGCUCCUGACAGGCACUUUCAAGUUCUCUGCCUCUGCUGCAGGCGCCCUGAAAGUGCUGAGCUCAGCUACGUGGCGGAGCGCAGCUGCUGUUCUCUUCGCAGCUCCCCUCCCCUCGUGGCCUGCUGUCUCAUGAUGCUCAGAUCUGUGGUGUUUGUCCCUUAUGGACUGAAUGCGUGCCCUAACCCCCUUGGGAGGUGGCUCAGCUGGUACAGAACCUGCCUGCAAUGCAGGAGACCUGGGUUCGAUCCCUGGGUCGGGAAGAUCCCCUGGAGAAGGGAAUGGCUACCCACUCCAGUACUCUGGCCUGGAGAAUUCCAUGGACAGAGGAGCCCGGUGGGCUGCAGUCCAUGGGGUCACAAAGAUUCGGACACGACUCAGUGACUUUCCCACACACACCUUGGGGGGAGGUGAUUAUUUGAGAUGAAGUCCUGAGGGUGGGGCCCUCGGGAUGGGAAUCACUGCCCUCCUGAGAAGAGACCCCAGAGCCCUCACCACAAC